UACGUAGGCAGCGAGCGUUGUUCGGAGUUACUGGGCGUAAAGGGUGUGUAGGCGGUUGUUUAAGUUUGGUGUGAAAUCUCCCGGCUCAACUGGGAGGGUGCGCCGAAUACUGAAUGACUAGAGUGUGGGAGAGGUGAGUGGAAUUCCUGGUGUAGCGGUGAAAUGCGUAGAUAUCAGGAGGAACACCGGUGGUGUAGACGGCUCACUGGACCAUAACUGACGCUGAGACACGAAAGCGUGGGGAGCAAACAGG
rnacentral:rRNA from 1 species